AUUGAACGCUGGCGGCAUGCUUUACACAUGCAAGUCGAACGGCAGCGCGGGCUUCGGCCUGGCGGCGAGUGGCGAACGGGUGAGUAAUACAUCGGAACGUGCCCAGUAGUGGGGGAUAGCUCGGCGAAAGCCGGAUUAAUACCGCAUACGACCUGAGGGUGAAAGCGGGGGAUCUUCGGACCUCGCGCUAUUGGAGCGGCCGAUGGCGGAUUAGCUAGUUGGUUGGGUAAAGGCCUACCAAGGCGACGAUCUGUAGCUGGUCUGAGAGGACGACCAGCAACACUGGGACUGAGACACGGCCCAGAAACCUACGGGAGGCAGCAGUGGGGAAUUUUGGACAAUGGGCGAAAGCCUGAUCCAGCAAUGCCGCGUGUGUGAUGAAGGCCUUCGGGUUGUAAAGCACUUUUGGCGGGAACGAAAAGGACUGUGCCAAUACCACGGUUGGAUGACGGUACCCGCAGAAUAAGCACCGGCUAACUACGUG
rnacentral:rRNA from 1 species